rnacentral:rRNA from 1 species
AGAAUCAACGCUGGCGGCGUGCCUAACACAUGCAAGUCGAACGAGAAAGUGGUAGCAAUACCAUGAGUAAAGUGGCGCACGGGUGAGUAACACGUGACUAACCUACCCUUGAGUGGGGGAUAACUGAGGGAAACCUUAGCUAAUACCGCAUAAUACCCACGGAUCAAAGGAGCAAUUCGCUUUCGGAGGGGGUCGCGGCUGAUUAGCUAGUUGGCGGGGUAACGGCCCACCAAGGCUUUGAUCGGUA